GGAGGUGUCCGAGUACCUGGUGGGCUCCGCCGCCUUCAAAGCGGUUGGCACGGGCGAUCCCCGUGCGGCGGGUUCGAUUCCCGUCCACCUCCG
rnacentral:tRNA from 1 species